rnacentral:rRNA from 1 species
CACGUAGGCACCAAGCGUUGUCCGGAUUUAUUGGGCGUAAAGGGCGCGUAGGCGGCCUUCUAAGUCGAACGUGAAAUCCCCGGGCUCAACCCGGGAACUGCGUCCGAUACUGGAAGGCUUGAAUCCGGGAGAGGGAUGCGGAAUUCCAGGUGUAGCGGUGAAAUGCGUAGAUAUCUGGAGGAACACCGGUGGCGAAGGCGGCAUCCUGGACCGGCAUUGACGCUGAGGCGCGAAAGCCAGGGGAGCAAACGGG